rnacentral:rRNA from 1 species
AUAUCUGCAUCUACCCUGAAUGUGCCCAAUCUUGUCUGGUCUAGGAAGCUAAGCAGGGCCGGGCCUGGUUAGGACUUGGAUGGGAGAAAGAAUAUUUGAGAUCUGUGGAAUACCUUGAGAAUGAUAUU